rnacentral:tRNA from 1 species
GGUUGUGGCUCAGUGGUAGAGCGCUCGCCUAGCACAUGUGAGGCUCUGAGUUCGAUCCUCAGACCA